rnacentral:lncRNA from 1 species
CCUGCAUUGUACCUGAGAGAACAAAACUUGAGGAUACCUGUUGCUCUUGAGACACUUUUCAGAAGCACAAGGAUUACCCCCGGAGAAGAAAGGGAUACCCUGCUGUGUCUGGUAAUCUGCAAUUAGAAAAUGAUCCCGAGGGGGACUAUUAGCAGCUGGUAUCGUUUAGAGCUGUCCAGACAAGCACUGAAUUAGCUGGAGAAUCUGGAACCACAACUAGCUGCUUGACAAGCCUCUCGCUCAUCCUAUCUUGCAAACAGCAAAAUCUGCAUAGAGCAGAGAUUUUGAGCUGCUGUCUGGUGAUGCAUCGGCAUGUGCUAUGGUGGAACAGCUGUUCACUGUUUCAAGUUAUGCCUGGAACAGUUGCUCAUUUGAGGAUUCCUAUACGGCUGUUUAUGUGUCAAGAAAGCUCCAGCUGUUGCUGUCAGAUGAAAGACAGUGUGGUAUGAAAGAAGAGCUGAUGGAAGACACCAGCUCAUCUGCCAUCACACGCGCUCAUGCUGGGCAAUGGGUUUGGAAGGCGUGCAAUCAUUUUGUAACUUGCUGUCCCCUACAAAACUCCUCCCAUACCACUGACAGUUCUCUCACCACCACACUUCUGCUUCAGCCCAUGCUCUGCCUCAGCCUCUGAAUGUUCCGGGGAGAAGGCAACAUAUGGUCUAAAUGAUUUUGCUGUGUACAAAAUAAGAAGUACGAACAUUUCCACUAGAGUGGAUCAACUCUUAAGCUGCUCCAUGAAGAGGAUAAUUCAUGAAGAAGCUACUGGUGACCACAAGAAAGUUGAAGACAUAUUUAUUGAGUCUACUCAUGAAAAGAAUGAAAACACAGCAGAAAUUAAAUAGAACAGCUUGCAUAAUAUUUAGUCUCUUACACUGUUUACAGAAUUUGCUUAAUGGUAUGUAUAUAAGAACAAAAAUGACUGUACUAUAUUCUGUUAAUGCCUGUGUGCAAUAAAUAACUGAAGUUAUUUAGAAAGGCUCUGAAG